AAAAUCUAACAAUCUCUACCUUAAACCAAAUUCCAGUGCAACGAACAAAAUUCCAAAAUUUCUCCACCUAUAAAGUAUGUCCGACUAUAUUGAAAUAACCAAACUCUUCAAACAGUAACCAAAACUCUUCACCUCAAGAAAAAACAUUAUUCUUUGCUCGUAUCCACAAGCGAUACCCAAACCCUAAUCCCAUGUUCCCAAAAUUUCAACAAGGAGCUAACAUUGACCAAACAGAGUUGAAACACACUCUGUAGCAGAAACCAUACACAAUACUUGAUCAGAAGGCUUCUUGCUAGAACUUUCACCUUCAAAAACUCCAAAAGCAUUCUCAACAUCUCCAACACCGUACACACGCUCAAUGGAUCCAAACCUAACAUUUGAACACAGUGUAUCUCUUGAAGUUGGUAGCAAAGCGGAAUCACCGAUGCUUUUCCUAGCAGUGUUCUGAAUCGACUGAAAGCCUAUCACAAGAGAUAUUGUACCAAAUUGAAUUUCCACCACAGUACCAAACUUGUCUAGAUGUCUCCUAAUUGGUUCUGCG
rnacentral:lncRNA from 1 species